AUUGAACGCUGGCGGCAUGCCUUACACAUGCAAGUCGAACGGUAACGGGCCUUCGGGUGCCGACGAGUGGCGAACGGGUGAGUAAUGCAUCGGAACGUACCUUUCAGUGGGGGAUAACGUAGCGAAAGUUACGCUAAUACCGCAUAUUCUGUGAGCAGGAAAGCAGGGGAUCGCAAGACCUUGCGCUGAUUGAGCGGCCGAUGUCAGAUUAGCUAGUUGGUGAGGUAAAGGCUCACCAAGGCGACGAUCUGUAGCGGGUCUGAGAGGAUGAUCCGCCACACUGGAACUGAGACACGGUCCAGACUCCUACGGGAGGCAGCAGUGGGGAAUUUUGGACAAUGGGGGCAACCCUGAUCCAGCCAUGCCGCGUGAGCGAAGAAGGCCUUCGGGUUGUAAAGCUCUCUCGGCCGGGAAGAAAUCGCAUGGGCUAAUACCCUGUGUGGAUGACGGUACCGGAAUAAGAAGCACCGGCUAACUACGUGCCAGCAGCCGCCGUAACAC
rnacentral:rRNA from 1 species